GCAGCACAGGGAAGCCCGGUGUGACCUCCACUGCAGGGUGGUGGUAAAGAGGUGGUAAGGAUGUGCAGCGCUGCUACACCCCGAUCUGAGCUGCUGAACCUGAGCCACGGAGCCUCAACUCCGUAAGAGAAGAUAAACAAACAAAGCCAGGAGAUGGACCGGGAAGGAGAAAGCACCGCAGUUACUACCAAGAACAUUUUGCCUUCCUCAGACCAGCCUGGGUUGCUCACCUGCACAGAGGAGCUGCCCCAGGCCUGCCCCUCACAUCCUUCCUGCAGCAAGAGCAUCGGUCACGCCGCACAGGACUCUCCUCGUGGUUUGCCUCUGUGAGUCAACUGGACAUGUCAGAGCUCGCAGUGGGUUUUGAUGAAGCACAACAUCAGCAAGUGGUUUACAAGACAUACACCUCUGCCUGCAGAAACCCCCACUAGUCACUGCUCCUUUCAUGUUUGAUUUCCUGUGGGACUUAAGACUCCCAUUGUUCUGUCCCACCUUGUGACCUGAACAUUGAUUUCCCAUUAGGAUAUAGAUCUAGUCUGAAUGCUCAUCACAAAACACACAAUCUUGCUUAGUUACUCAUGCAUUGCUGCUUAUAAGCAGACCAAAUUCUGCAAAGUCACUGGCAGGACGACUCUGGCAGCCAGCUCCACGGCCAGCACCACACCAAUAAAAGGUUUUAUGGGAA
rnacentral:lncRNA from 1 species